rnacentral:rRNA from 1 species
CCUACGGGAGGCAGCAGUGAGGAAUAUUGGUCAAUGGACGAGAGUCUGAACCAGCCAAGUAGCGUGAAGGAUGACUGCCCUAUGGGUUGUAAACUUCUUUUAUAAGGGAAUAAAAUGAUGCACGAGUGGCUUUUUGUAUGUACUUUAUGAAUAAGGAUCGGCUAACUCCGUGCCAGCAGCCGCGGUAAUACGGAGGAUCCGAGCGUUAUCCGGAUUUAUUGGGUUUAAAGGGAGCGUAGAUGGGUUGUUAAGUCAGUUGUGAAAGUUUGCGGCUCAACCGUAAAAUUGCAAUUGAUACUGGCAGUCUUGAGUACAGUAGAGGUAGGCGGAAUUCGUGGUGUAGCGGUGAAAUGCUUAGAUAUCACGAAGAACACCGAUUGCGAAGGCAGCUCACUGAACUGCAACUGACACUGAGGCUCGAAAGUGUGGGUAUCAAACAGGAUUAGAUACCACUGUAGUC